GGCCCUACGGGGCGCAGCAGGCGCGAAAACUUUACAAUGCGGGCAACCGUGAUAAGGGAACCUCGAGUGCCUGUACAUGCAGGCUGUUUAGGUGUCUAAAACGCACCUGAAGAAAGGGCCGGGCAAGACCGGUGCCAGCCGCCGCGGUAACACCGGCGGCUCGAGUGGUGACCAUUUUUAUUGGGUUUAAAGGGUUUGUAGCCGGCUGGAUAAGUCUCUUGGGAAAUCUGGCGGCUCAACCGUCAGGCGUUCAGGGGAUACUGUCAGUCUCGGAACCGGGAGAGGUGAGGGGUACUUCAGGGGUAGGAGUGAAAUCCUGUAAUCCUUGAGGGACCACCAGUGGCGAAGGCGUCUCACCAGAACGGAUUUGACAGCAAGGGACGAAAGCUAGGGGCGCAAACCGGAUUAGAUACCCGGGUAGUCCCAGCCGUAAACGAUGCUCGUUAGGUGUAUGGCUGACCACGAGUCACGUAGGUGCCGUAGGGAAGCCGUGAAACGAGCCACCUGGGAAGUACGGCCGCAAGGCUGAAACUUAAAGGAAUUGGCGGGGGAGCACCACAACGGGUGGAGCCUGCAGUUUAAUUGGACUCAACGCCGGGAAGCUUACCG
rnacentral:rRNA from 1 species